GAUGAAGAACGUAGCAAAAUGCGAUAAGUAAUGUGAAUUGCAGAAUUCAGUGAAUCAUCGAAUCUUUGAACGCACAUUGCGCCCGCCAGUAUUCUGGCGGGCAUGCCUGUUCGAGCGUCAUUUCAACCCUCAAGCACAGCUUGGUGUUGGGACUCGCGUUAAUUCGCGUUCCCCAAAUUGAUUGGCGGUCACGUCGAGCUUCCAUAGCGUAGUAGUAAAACCCUCGUUACCGGUAAUCGUCGCGGCCACGCCGUUAAACCCCAACUUCUGAAUGUUGACCUCGGAUCAGGUAGGAAUACCCGCUGAACUUAAGCAUAUCAAUAAGCGGAGGA
rnacentral:misc_RNA from 1 species